rnacentral:rRNA from 1 species
CACUGCCGAGAAAAGCCUCUAGAUAGAAAAUAGGUGCCCGUACCGCAAACCGACACAGGUAGUCAAGAUGAGAAUUCUAAGGUGAGCGAGCGAACUCUCGUUAAGGAACUCGGCAAAAUGACCCCGUAACUUCGGGAGAAGGGGUGCUCUUUAGGGUUAACGCCCAGAAGAGCCGCAGUGAAUAGGCCCAAGCGACUGUUUAUCAAAAACACAGGUCUCUGCUAAACCGUAAGGUGAUGUAUAGGGGCUGACGCCUGCCCGGUGCUGGAAGGUUAAGAGGAGUGGUUAGCUUCUGCGAAGCUACGAAUCGAAGCCCCAGUAAACGGCGGCCGUAACUAUAACGGUCCUAAGGUAGCGAAAUUCCUUGUCGGGUAAGUUCCGACCCGCACGAAAGGCGUAACGAUUUGGGCACUGUCUCAACGAGAGACUCGGUGAAAUCAUAGUACCUGUGAAGAUGCAGGUUACCCGCGACAGGACGGAAAGACCCCGUGGAGCUUUACUGUAGCCUGAUAUUGAAAUUCGGCACAGCUUGUACAGGAUAGGUAGGAGCCUUUGAAACGUGAGCGCUAGCUUACGUGGAGGCGCUGGUGGGAUACUACCC